GACGAACGCUGGCGGCGUGCUUAACACAUGCAAGUCGAACGGAAAGGCCCUGCUUUUGUGGGGUGCUCGAGUGGCGAACGGGUGAGUAACCCGUGAGUAACCUGCCCUUGACUUUGGGAUAACUUCAGGAAACUGGGGCUAAUACCGGAUAGGAGCUCCUGCUGCAUGGUGGGGGUUGGAAAGUUUCGGCGGUUGGGGAUGGACUCGCGGCUUAUCAGCUUGUUGGUGGGGUAGUGGCUUACCAAGGCUUUGACGGGUAGCCGGCCUGAGAGGGUGACCGGCCACAUUGGGACUGAGAUACGGCCCAGACUCCUACGGGAGGCAGCAGUGGGGAAUAUUGCACAAUGGGCGGAAGCCUGAUGCAGCAACGCCGCGUGCGGGAUAACGGCCUUCGGGUUGGAAACCGCUUUCGCCUGUGACGAAGCGUGAGUGACGGUAAUGGGUAAAGAAGCACCGGCUAACUACGUG
rnacentral:rRNA from 1 species